UUGUUACUCGCUGUGGUCCUCUCUCGUUCAUUCCGGCGGCGGCACGAACUCUUCGUGCGCGCUGCCCACGCGAGGAGGGGAUAGAUCGACGCGUCAAGAAAUCGUUUCAGUUGCCAUGACUCCAGUAGGCAAUAUGAUUGUUGCUUGACCACAGUUUUGUCCUCAUUUAGUUCGCCUCUGUUAUUUGUUUUAAUCUCGCUUGCGAUUUAAGGUCCUAGAUCUGUUUCUGCACGGUGCUAACCCCGGGCUUGUCGGAUUAAUACUUCUUGAAGAAGGAAGCCCCAAUGCCUGUGCUAGAUCCACUAUGCCAUUCAGUGUUGCAGGCUAUGACAAAUCUUGUGAUUGGUCUGUGUCAAAGCAAUGGAUACAGUUGUCCAUACAGUUCAUGUUCAGAUCUUUAUGAUUUUUAUUCACUGUUUCUUAUGUUUGAUGGCAGUGAUUUGACACAACCCGCGCUUCUGAUGCAAUACGUGAAGCAAAGGGAAAAAUAAUGGUUGAAUUUCUUAAUAUGAGCCAUCUAGAAAUCAUCCCAUUGUAUUAGUUAUUUUCUGCAUCGUCAUCAUUUCGCUCAUGUGAUUGAUUUGGCAGUGAUGAUACAAACCUUCAGCUUACAACGCCAGUUCUGCUUCUGAGAAUUCAUGAUAGAUAAAGCUGAUUCAUAUCUGAGCCUUGAUCUCUUGCAUGUUGGUGCACAUUCAUACUCUGCUUUAGGACUCAUUUAUGCUUUAGCCAUACCUUGCAUACCAUUGGCCAUUGAUGAAAUCGCCCAAUGUUUGGAGGCUGCAAUUGGCCCCAAGUUCCUGCUUGUCAGGAAGAACCUACUUGGGGCUGGUGCACUCGCAUGACAACACUGGGCGAUCCUGAGGUCUUUGAUGCUAUGUCUAAAUGCAUUUGUUAGUGUAAUCGCAUAGUUUAUUGAUCUUCUGUUGCAACAAUGAUUCUGAGUUUUGUGCCGAGUUUAACUAUCCUCGCGCAAGUGAUUUCUGAUUUGCACAGAGGCUGAAAAUCUCGGAAAGUGUGUGUUGUCAUCAGCUUCGUCUCUUUGUUACUGUGAGAUGGGAGUUAAAUAACAGCACGAUAUAGUCUACUUCAGUGAAAACUCUGGACCUAGUUUUCUUUGCAACAAAAAUCAACAUUUCAGCUUUCUGAAACCUGGAAACCUAGGGAAUUUAGUCCUACAAAUAGCACAGGUCUAUUCACCAAGUUAGCCAAAGUGCAAAAUACAUGCCCCAUCCAUAAUGCGUCUCUGAAAGCCUGAGGCUACCAGCCCUUGUGUUAUUCUCUCUGAGUUCCAUCACGGACUAGAUUCGUACUUUUUUUAAUUCUGUGGUUACAUUUGUUGAUUUGAGAUUGGAGCAGUGAUGAGCACUUCUUGUGGACUAGAGUUUCUGAUACUGCCUUUUAGUAUUUGACGACCAAACCCUUGGCUGUCUGAGCUCUGAAAUCUCAACUCAACCUUUAGUUUAUUUAAUUUAUGUCGUUUUUUACUUCCUGAUGCAAUAGUUGACCUGAUAUUUUGAGUGGUGAUGAACAAUUGUGUUUUGGAUAGUUUCUGAUACGGCUACAUUGUUGUAGUCGUUGAAGACCAAACCCUUGGCUGUCUGAACUCAAAUCUCACAGUCCACUAAUGCCUUUAUAACUUUAUCAUCUUUAGUAAGGUUUGUAUUUAUUCCUUUUGUAAGAUGCGUCCAUUACCAAUUCUGGAGGAUGAUUUCGUUCCUCUCGGUAUAAUGGCUUGAACGCAACACGCAAUUCUCCUGAUGUGUGGUUAUAUCCUGAUUGGUGGUGUUAUUGGUGCCAAUUCAAUCCUGGAAAGGCUAGGUACAUUCUCAUGUAAAAUUGAUCAUAUCCCCAUGUGUUUUGUGGGAUCUAAAUGAUGUGAAACUUUGAAGGUGAAAGUGCCCAAUCUUGAUUAUUGAGGUUUACCAUGAUAGUUCUUUCAUAUUGAAUAGGAAGAUCUGAUAUAGUCCAUGAACUUGCACUUUUUAUGCCAUUGAUCUGUUGAUUUGGAUGAUGAUAACACAAGUAAAAUACAGUUAUCCCUGUCUGACUCCUUCCUAAGGGUGCUGAUAAUACUUUAAUCUGACACAUGCAUGUGCAAUGUAAAUGAUUGUUUUUCUAGUCCAUUUUCUUUUUGUAGGAGCAACAUUUACAGAUUAUUAUAUUACUGUGGUGUUGUUGGAUCAUGGCAUUUGAUAUCACCAUGGUUGUGGAAUAGGAGGCCCAUCACAACUUAACUUUUUGCUGCCCAUUUGCAUGUACAUGAUGGCCAAUUUGAUCAGAUUUGACUCAGACAACUCGGUAAAUUUCAAGCUCAACGGACCAAUCUACAUCUCUCUCUAAAUACUAAAUAUUGAGAUUGAUCCAUAUGUUGACUAUCCUCCUGAUUACUGGACUGAGCCAUAUGAAUUCCGAAUGAUCCAUAUGUUGACUAUCCUCCUGAUUACUGGACUGAGCCAUAUGAAUUCUGAAUUCUCUUUCAAUCCUGGUCACUCUCUUCAACUGUGUUUUUUGUUUCUUUUGUUUACAUAUAUUUUUACAUUGGAUGGUGUUGUUGCCAUGAGGACAAACAAGCUCCCUCUUCUGAAUACAUUUGAGGAUGCUUGCUGGCCGAAUCGAACCAAUUAACCUUAUUGCCAUCACUGAGCAACCAAGGGUCUCCAUCCCCCCCUUUUCUUUGCUGUUUCUCUCUUUUCAUGUUCAGCAAUCUUGGAUGCUAAUCAAGCAACUAGCCAGGUUGGCUUCUGUGUGAUUUAGUUGGCAGUGAUGAUACGACCUUUCAGCUUAAAAUGCAGUUUUGCUUCUGAGAAUUCGUACCAGAUAAAGCUGGUAUUGGUCUCACGUUUUUCACACCCCUUUGUUGCUUUAGAUUGUAAUGUUUCUCCUAAACUAUGCAUCUUAUUGGCCUACCAUCCCCAUAAGACAAAAUUCAGGCUAUUUCAUUCUGCUACAGACAACUUUUUUUUUUAUCAUGUUAUGUCUCUUUGUUCAGCAUUGGCUUGGUUUUGGAUUUGCUUGCUAUGAUGGAUAGACAGUUCUCCGAUGAUGAUGUAAAAAUACUUUCGUUCUUCUGAAGUUGCAAUGUGGAAGAACAAUUUGGAGACCUGAACUGAGGAGAUUCUUACUCAAUCUGUAUUUUCCCUUCUUUUUUUUUCUUUUUUUUGAUUUUUGAUUGAUGUGGAAGAAUCUGAGUUCUUGGAGAUCCCUGUGAAGAUUUGUGAUGAAGUAGUGGCCUGAUUUACAUCGUUGAUGAGCCAUAUUAUUAUCACAGAGGGAUCUGAAUCGCCUUCCACAUCUUGCUCCACGGCAGUUUUAUUUUUCAAUUUUUUUUUAAAAAUCUUCUUUCUUCCUUGUGCACCAGUUGAAUGAACAUGUUUUAAGUUUCAGCCUUGUCUGAAAAACUAAUCAUCUGUUGAUACUCUUCAUUGUCUGAGGGUUCUCAUUGUUGCUUUCCUACAUUGAUUAAUAUGAUGAUAAUUUAUAUUAAUCUGUCAAUUGGAUUUAGUCUCUGGUGUUUAUCAAAAUUUAUACUUUUUCUGAAGUGCUUUUCUCAUGGUGCGAUGCGGAAUUCUUGAGACCUGAACUGAAGAGACUAAACAAGAAUGGCCUGAUUUUCUAUUGUCUGGUCACUCUGUAGAGGGAAGCAUAGAUUGAACAAGAAGCCAGAAUUAAACAGCAUGAUGCUUCCUUCUCUGCAUCCGUGUUACCUGUCUCCUGGCACAACCCAAAACGCAAAAAAUGAUUUUACCAAUUGAAUGCUAACUCACGGUAGAUCUGAAUUAUGCAGAAUAAUAGCUUAGAUAUGAGCUAACAGAGCUUUCGCAUUGACCUAACGUCUGGGCUGAUAAUGAUCAUGAUUUAAUUCCAAAGCUUUUAUAAUAUUGUAAAAUAUGUCCUUGCUCAA